rnacentral:rRNA from 1 species
GCAAGUCGAACGGGCGUAGCAAUACGUCAGUGGCAGACGGGUGAGUAACACGUGGGAACGUACCUUUUGGUUCGGAACAACACAGGGAAACUUGUGCUAAUACCGGAUAAGCCCUUACGGGGAAAGAUUUAUCGCCGAAAGAUCGGCCCGCGUCUGAUUAGCUAGUUGGUGAGGUAAUGGCUCACCAAGGCGACGAUCAGUAGCUGGUCUGAGAGGAUGAUC